rnacentral:lncRNA from 1 species
GCCUGCUUGGAGGCCCCGGGUCUGGGCGGCGGCGCGCGUCUGCAGGGCGCCCGCCGGCCUCCACGUGCGCGCGCGCGCCGGGGCUCCCCGAGCACACGCACGCCGGCUUCCCGCCCGCUCGAGGGGAGCGCGGCCUCGGACCUGGGGCUGCGGGGUUGGCGGGGGAUUCCCGGGCGAUUGCGUCUGCUUUGAAAAAGGGUGAGCGAGAGGGAGGGAGGGAGGCAGAGGCCCGAGGGCGGGGUUCCGGGCGGUCCGGCCGGUUGCCCGAGGCUGCGCAGCAGGCUGCGGGGUCCGUGCCCGGAGGCGGGGGCUUUCCCUCCGUAACGGCCAAAACCCGGAGCCCGCCCCCCGGAGCGGGCAGAGCCGGCGCGCAGCCUUCCUUCGGACGAGGCCCCCGUGCGGCGCCCGGUGAGCCCGCGGACCCGAGGGCGGCCCUGGACUGGACGCUUCACCGGACCGGACGCGGGCUGCGACCCUCCCGGGUCCCCGCGAAGCCCGGGGCGCCGGCGGGCAGGGUUCGCCCCUGCGCCUCCUCGCACACCCACGGGCUCCAUUAGGGCAGGAACGUUCACGUGGUGUAUCUUCCCAGUUGGAGUUGGAAUGGCAGAUAUUGUGCAGGGAUUUCAGACAUGAUGGUGGAUUAAGAUACUAGACAAAGCCAGAGAAGAAAAUAUCAGAAUUCAGCUGCAAAACUGUCCCGAUGCAUGGCUGUAUAUCCUAGGUCUUCCGUGUGAGCUGCUGACAGAUGGGUUGUGUGGUUCCACGACCGGGAAACGACACCAAGCUGCCGAAGUGCCCCGCGGUACAUAGUUGUGCAUUUUAGGUUGUGGCUCCCUCCAGCUGUGGCAUGCAGGAUGCCACCCCAGCAUGGCCUGAUGAGCAGUGCCAUCUCCGCACCCGGGACCCAAACUGGCGAAACCUUGGACCACUUAAGAAAAGCACAUGAACCCAGCCACUUGGCCACGGGGCCAGCCCGCCACAUAGUAUUUUUAUGCUUAUCAUGGAUCCUUCUCCCCGCUCCAAGGGUGAAGUGAGUCAGGAUGGUUUGUUCAUGCUGUUCAACAAUUACCAAAGCCUGUCUGCAUUGCUGGUAAAAGUGACUCACAUGCGGUGGCUGGUUCAUGGAACAAGAGCACAGAAAAGUGGUUUUGAUGAAGGAGCAUUUCCUUCUAAUUCCACACAUUAUGUUAUCAGUAGAGGACGUUUUAGAUACUGGUUAAGAGUUGGACCUGGUGAUUUUUGUGGUUUUUUUUGGCCAUCUUAGUUUAUGUGUUUCAGGCUAAUUUGACCAUACAAGCCAAGGAUCAUCAUUCUGCAGCAAGCCUCAGCAUGCCUCUCCCAUGCUCACUGGCAGCCAUACUCUACAUAUACUGCCCUUGUAUCCACCUUCUGAGAUAGCCUGCAGUUGAAGUCGCCUAACCAAGCAGGAUCCACUCAGUGCCACAGAAGGAGUUAGGCAAUUAUGGAAUCCUCCUUCCUCAUUUGCACUCACGGUACUUGGGGAGAAGACAACAGAGUCUGUUUUUUGGUUUUUUUUUUAAAGAUUUUAUUUUUUCCUUUUUCUCCCCAAAGUCCCCCGGUACAUAGUUGUAUAUUCUUUGUUGUUGGUCCUUCUAGUUGUGGCAUGUGGGACGCUGCCUCAGCGUGGUUUGACGAGCAGUGUCAUGUCCGCGCCCAGGAUACAAACCAACGAAACAAUGGGCCGCCUGCAGCGGAGCGCGCGAACUUAACCGCUCGGCCACGGGGCCAGCCCCACAACAGAGUCUGUUUUGAGAUGGUUGUGUAUGUAGUUGAAUUAAUCUUCUCCCCAGUAGUUUUUUAAUAAUUAUUGCAAAUUUCAAUUCUUCAUAUGCACCUCUGUCACUUUUGAAAUUUAUAUUUUGGAUGAGAAUUUCUAUAUCUAUUCAUAUAGUUGCUAAUUUCAUUUUAAAGUAAACAGGUAUUGUGUAUUGAUAUUUCUGUUCUUAACUUAAUCAUUUGCUUUUUUAACUGAUAAAUUCAGUUUUAUUAAGACCCCUUAGAGAUAAUAAAAAGGAUUUGCUCUUCUAUCCACUCCUCUGGACAUUCUGGGUUCUAUUCUUGGAUCAAGUUAAGUUGAUCCAAGAAAGCUACAUAUGUGGAUGUAAGAGCCUCUACUAAAAACAGUAGAUAAAUGCAGGGCUAUAAAUACAUCAUUGAAUUGAGAAUUGUUAGGUCCGUAAGUCAAUAUGGCCACAAGUUACAAUUUGUGAUCUUAGUUUAAGCCCCUCCCAGGACGGACUUCAUUGAUUAUACAACAAACUCUGAAGUGGGAGAUGUAUGGUUAUUGUCAGGACGUUUGUCAUCCUGUUUUGGCUGCCCAGCUGCAGAACCAUCUUUUAUGUAUGUUUGCAGAAUUCCUAAUCUUAAAACUAUUUGGUUUGUAUGGUAGGGGUACACUACAGGAGCUAAAAUGCCAGAUAGUUACUUUCCCUUCCUCUUUUGCGGCUAAGACACAGACCCUGUGACCUAGGCUCUACCAGUCAGAAGCUGCCAGACAGGAUUUGACUUUCCAGCUACACUUGCUCUGCACGUAGAAGUGGCAGUAUCUGCAGCACUGGAGGGAGCAGUUUUAUCUCUACGCCAAUUUAGAACAUGCUUCCAUGCCUUUUCCCUGGUGGUUUAGCCUUGAGCCUGUAUCUCUCUCCCUUACAGUGAAUUCUGUGAGCUGGCCCAAUAUCUGUUUAGUGCCUUACUCUUUUGCUUAAUUUAGCUGGAGAUGGCAUCUGUUUCUUGCAUGUAAGAAUUCAGACAGUUAUUUCUUAUACACUUAGGGAUUUAUUAUGGACUUAGCGUGUUCUCUCAUUUCUAGAAAUAAGCACCAUAAUACUUGUCAUACUUUCCUUUUUAUUAUUCCUGGCAGCUAGAAAUCUCAGAAUCUAAUUUGGAACUUGAUCAUAGUACAGAGAGUAACUCUUACCACUAGUACAAUUAGCUUAUUUACUUUUGCUUUUUCCCCUCAUUUUUAAAUUAAUUUUAUUUGUAUUGUGAUGUCAUUGGUUGUAAGUAGCCAAUCAGAAAACUCCACAGGUCUUUUCAAGCCCACAUGGGUUCCCUAAAUUCUCAUUCCUUCCUUGUGGCAGGCCUCUGGGUCUUGAUCCUUUGUCCUUGUCCUCGUGGCUGUGAAUACCUGUUUUUUUUUUCAUCCACACACCUGGCAAAGGGGUGACAUAGCAUCCUCAGCCGCUCACUCUCUUCUCUUUGAUUCCUAAUAAAAGCUCAUUGAAGGAUUUUAUAAUGAAUAACAAUAGGAAAAAUUAUAGCAAAUUAUAAACAGUCAAGAUUCUAAAAUCUGCCAAUUUUGUGUGCUUGAUGUAUGAGUCUGAAAUAGUCAAUCAAAGAGCUCUUAGGCCUCUGUCUCCUUUUUAAUUUUCAUGUUUCACUAAACUCCGUUCUACUAUAUUGAACUUAAAAUUGUUUUUGUUAUGAAAUAGUACAAAAUUUUGUCAAAAGCUCAACUCUGUCCAAAAACAUUUUUAAUGGAAUUGCACUGGAUAGUUUACCUUGAGGAAAACUGAUGAUUUUCUAACAGUGAGUCUUUCCAUCCAUGAAGACCUCUCCAUUUAUUUAGGUUUUCUUUAGUGUCUUUCAAUAAACUUUUAUAUUUUCUCCAUAAAUCUAUUAUACACUUUUUCUUAGCUUUUUUCCUAGAGACCUUAUUUUUGUUGCUAUUAUAAACAUGAUCUUUUUAAAGUAUAUUUUAAAAUGUUUCUUGAUUGCAUAUAGGGAUACAAUAGAUUUUUCUUAUUGAGGUAACAGUAGUUUAUAACAUUAUAUCAAUUUCAGGUGUACAUCAUUAUAUUUUGACUUCUGUAUACAUUGCAUCGUGUUCACCACCAAAAGUCUAGUUUCCAUCCAUCACCAUACAAAUGUCCUCCUCUACCCCUUUUGCCCUCCUCCCACCCUCUUCUCCUCUGGUAAUCACCAGUCUGCUAUAUUAGAUUUUUUAAUAUUAAUCUUAUAUCCAGUAAACUUGCUAAAUUCACACAAUAGUUCUAGUAAUUUGUCUUUAAAUCUUGAACUUUCUAUUUUUACAUUACUUCUGUUAAUAAUAGUUUUGAGUCUUCUUUUUAAUCCUUACACCACUGAUUGAUUGAUUCUACUUGCAAUUUUUUGUUUUUCUUCUUUUCAAGCAUAAGCAUUUAAAGGCUAUAAAUUUCCCUCUAAGUACAAGAUUUAGCUGCAUCUCACAGUUUGGUAGGUAAUCAAGUUUUCCUGUUAUACUUUAUUCUUUUACAUAUGAAUUAUUUAGAAGUGUAUUUUUAAACUUAUAAAUGAUAAGAUUUGCUUUUUAUUUUUUAUUUUUAUUAAACUCCAUUUUUUUAUUGUGGUCAGAAGGUAAAGUCUUUGAUACAGUUACUUUAAAAUUUGUUGAGACAUGAUUUGUGCACUAAAAUGUCAUCAUUUCCUGUAAAUGUAACAUGUGCUUUUGAAAAAAAAUGUGUAAUUUCUAAUUGUCACAUUUGGAAAUGUUUAUUUAAUCAAGUUUGAUAAUUAUGUUGUUUAAAUCUUCUAUGUAUAAAUUAGUUUUUUGUCUAUUUGAUGCAUCAAUUACUGAGAGAGAAAAAUAAAAAUCUUUCAACCUGAUUAUGGUUUUAUAAAUUUCUCCAUAUAAGUCUGUGUUGACUCUGUAGAUCAACUUG